rnacentral:misc_RNA from 1 species
UAAAAUAUGAGUUUUACUCUAUAUAAAAAAUAUUAAUAUUUCUCUUGUUCAAAUUCGGAAUAUCUUUCAAAUCUCACUAGGAUUUUGAAUUACAAAUCUAAAGCAAGGUUAUUCAACCACCAUCCAAACCUCAUCACUUUCAUUCCAUUAUUGUUACUCAUGUGGAUGGCCUCCCUCCUCGUGCUGAGACCACUUCUGAUGUUCCUUACCCUUUACACCCAUACAUCAUGGCUGCCAUGGAUCGAAUUGAGCCUAAAAUUGAAGUGAUACUCAGAGAUUUAAAACCCAACUUUAUUUUCUUUGAUUUUGCAGAAUGGAUUCCAAAGCUGGCUCGUCUACAGUACCAUCAGUUCAGUAGUUGUAGAUCUCAGCAUAUGUCUAGCAAAGGAAACUAAAGGAAGCAACUUCAUUGUAGCUGAUCUUACGCAGCUUUCCUCAAGCUUUCCUGACCCUUCCGUCAUGCUUCACUCACACGAGGCAAGAGCUCAGGUUGCAGGCAUGGUCAUGAAGUUUGGCAGGGAUAACAGCUUCUUUGACGGCCAUUAUAUUGGAAUCACCCAAUGUGAUGCUCUAGGCUUCAGAACAUGCAGAGAAAUUGAAGGACCUUUUGUUGAUUAUCUUGAAAGCCAAUAGUAAGCCAGUGUUGCCUUAGGACAGGUUGUACCAGAGCCACCCACCUCCACUUUAGACCAGAAGCGGGCCAAGUGACUAGGAAGAUUCCAGGUUAAUUCUGUGAUAUGCUGUGCAUUUGUGAGUGCAAUUUAUAGCUCUUUGGUUUAGAGCUCACAGGUAUGUCAUUCUUGGCGGCACUGAAACCGCCAAUGGAUACUGACUCAAUUGAAGCAACAUUGCCCCAAGGAUUUGAAGAGAAAAUCCAUGGAAGAGUAGUUCAUGAAGGAUGGGUUCAAGAACGGUUGAUUCUUGAGCAUCCAUCUGUGGAUUGCUUCAUUACACAUUGCUGUACUGGUUCUCUGAUAUUUACCAGAGGCAUUGGUGAAUAAAUGCCAGGUGGUACUGUUAUCACAUUGCAGAUCAGAUAAUUAAUGCAGGAAUGGCGAGCAGGAACUUAAAGGUUGGAGUGGAAGUGGAAAAACGAGAAGACGGUUGGUUCACCAAGGAAAGUGUUUGCAAGGCUGUGAAGAGUGUGAUAGAGGAAGAUAGUGAGGUUGGCAAAGAAGAUCCAAGUCAAACCAUGAUAAACUGAGAGAGUUGUUGCCAGGCAAGGAUUUGGAAUUCUCUUAUAUCGACAGUUGACAGCUUCAACAACUUCUUGGAUGAUUUUCUUUCACAUGCUUCAAGGAAUGCUGUUGCAGGAGCAAUGGGCAUUCAAUUUUCAAUAAAAUCAAGUCCAUCUCUCGUAAGGAUAGGACUUGGGAGGUCAUCAUUUUUCUACUCGGCCAAUUUUCAAAACUUGAAAAUCUAUUCUUCGAAAUCCACCAAAUCCAGACAUUCAAAAACUUCUUUUAACAGGACAAUGUCGAAGUUUGCCUGCAUAAAGGUUUUUUAACAUAUUCUCAAAUAUCCGGCCAUGAUGUCAAAAGUUAUUAACAUUGGUACUUUCCACUAUACACUUUCAGCAGCCAUCUGGUAUUCAACUUCAUUCCCAAAACUAUUGUAAAGUGAAGCUAUUAAUGACCAUAAGACAAUGGAUUAGCAACUUAAUUAUCUUCAACAAAUUCAGCAGCAGCGUACUGUGAUAAAAUGCUGUUAGUUUCCACAUUCAAGCAAGCUCCAUGAUGAACAUGAUAGUCAAUCAAAUCCACUUGGAAGAUGAUUGCAUGGAAUCAUGGCCUCAGGAUCCAGCACCAGAAGUCUUGCGAUCUUGAGAAGGAUCAACAUCUUCAGCAUUAGCUUUUUUGUCAACCUUUGUCCUGCCCUCAGUAGAGGGACUGCUAUCUCCUGUAUUAUCAGCAGUGAGCUUUCCCAUCUUCUUUUGCAGAUCAGCAAGUGAAUCCUUCAUAACUUUACCUCUUUGAGUCUUUUUUUCAUCAACCAACUUGAGUUCCAACCUAUAUAAUGCACAGUCAUCGUAGUUAUUGACCUCAUAUUCAUAUAAAUGCCACUCAUAGCAGCCUGGAGGCUGUGGAUCCAUAUAAUAGGACCUCUUUUGCCCACCAAACUCCUUAAUCACUUGCUUCCUGGAUUCAUGCCAACCACGUCCACUGUAGUCUGGCAAUGACCUCUGCUUCCUGCUUCCACUUUCAAAUGCCCUUCUAGGCUUAUCAAAAAAGAGCCAUUCUCUAAUUGUUUCACCAUCAAGCAAGCAAAGAUCAAAUAGCUCAGUAGCAUUCCAUGGAGAUUUCAUACUAGCACCUCCUUCACAAUGAGGAAUACCUACAUUCUUGCCCUGUUUCUUUGCACUAAGAGCAUUAAACAAUAAAUUAUCCUUCAAACUAAUACCCCUGGGCCGCAAAACUGGAGUCAUACCGGGUGGACCUUCAUUCAAAGCCAGAGUAGCAUGAAAGCUGCUACAAUAGUCUUCAAACCAUUCAGAUCCUUGAGCAGGCCGGGUGCAGUCCCAGAGUGCACAUUGUGGUCCCAUGAAAGCAGAAGGACGGGGAUUGAUGGGCUGGUUGAUAAUCUCAGCACUCCUGCCAAACUUUUUACUAUCACUAUUACCAAAGGAAAGCCCCUGGUUGAAUCCUUCAUCCAAAAUGAACUGAUGACAAUCCAGAAAGGUAUUCAUGUCAGAGGUGUUAACCACUAUAUUCUGCAAAGCUAAGGAGGCGCUGUUGGAUUGAUCAAACCCGUGAAAAUUAUGGAUCUGAGUGUCACUGCCUGGUAAGUAGCCCUGAAAAAUGUUGUUGUUCUCAUCAGCCAUCAAUUUUAAUUAUGCGUAUGAUACAGAACAUGAAAAGCCAGUAAUUAACCUCAUCUCAAGGGAACCUUGAAAACUCAUAUUCAUCAAAUGGAAGUGAAUCAGAAUUUGUCAAAAUGAUCUAAAUCUAGCAAAAAAAUAUGAAAUAAAUGCCUAAAUCCUGUAAAAAAAUUUGUCCUACUUAUGCAUGUAAUCAAAUUUGACCAUGUUGCCAACCAAGAACUUUAUAAUUCACACACAUGAAUUUGAAAAAAAAUAAAUAAAUAAAUUGGAACAGAGCCUCACUAUUUCUCUACUCUUACCAAACUUCAUCUAUUUGUCUUGAAUUUCAUGUAAAAGUUACGCUCAGACUAAGAGAGAUAAUUUUAACAUUGAGUUCUUAGGGCAUUCAAAACAGGAAAUUAUUAUUAUAUAAGGCUUAGAUCAAAAUUUUACAUUGGUUUCACUAUAGACUUCAGGAAAUAGUAAUCAUUACACAGAAAUAUGAUAAUGUACAGAAGAAUACACCCUUUGAGACAGUCACAUGUGUCCUGCAUAUGGACUGAAGCACUGCGUUCCAAAGUAAAAAAAUAAAAUUGUAAAAUGUAUUCAAACUUUGUCAAGUCAACAAGAAAAAAUGAGUUAAAUAAAAAAUAGAAAAUGCUUAUUUGACACCUUAAUAAUUCAAUACGAUGCCUGCCUCCAUCAUCCUGUGAGAUUUCUUUGGCCCGAAUUUUUUUCCUUUUUAAGUCUUUUUUCCCCAAAACUAGCAAAUAAAAAGUAUAAGAUUUUAAAAUUUUCAUUUUUCUUCUUAUAUAGGAGAUCGUGUUUUAACCUUUAAAAACAUUUAAGAUGGAUCAUCUAAUGUACAAGCAAAAUAGUUUUUUUCCAAAAAAAAAAAA